AGUGAACGCUGGCGGUAGGCCUAACACAUGCAAGUCGAACGGCAGCACAGUAAGAGCUUGCUCUUACGGGUGGCGAGUGGCGGACGGGUGAGGAAUACAUCGGAAUCUACUUUUUCGUGGGGGAUAACGUAGGGAAACUUACGCUAAUACCGCAUACGACCUACGGGUGAAAGCAGGGGAUCUUCGGACCUUGCGCGAUUGAAUGAGCCGAUGUCGGAUUAGCUAGUUGGCGGGGUAAAGGCACACCAAGGCGACGAUCCGUAGCUGGUCUGAGAGGAUGAUCAGCCACACUGGAACUGAGACACGGUCCAGACUCCUACGGGAGGCAGCAGUGGGGAAUAUUGGACAAUGGGCGCAAGCCUGAUCCAGCCAUGCCGCGUGAGUGAAGAAGGCCUUCGGGUUGUAAAGCCCUUUUGUUGGGAAAGAAAAGCAGCAGGUUAAUACCCCGCUGUUCUGACGGUACCCAAAGAAUAAGCACCGGCUAACUUCGUG
rnacentral:rRNA from 1 species